AUGGUUAAGCUACUAAGAGCACACGGAGGAUGCCUAGGCGCUAGGAGCCGAAGAAGGACGUGGCGAACAACGAAACUGCCUCGGGGAGCUGUAAGCAAGCUUUGAUCCGGGGAUGUCCGAAUGGGGAAACCCGGCUGGUGUAAUAGCCAGUCACUCAUAACUGAAUACAUAGGUUAUGCAGAGGCAUACCAGGGGAACUGAAACAUCUAAGUACCCUGAGGAAGAGAAAACAAGAGUGAUUCCGUCAGUAGCGGCGAGCGAACGCGGAACAGCCUAAACCAGAGAGCUUGCUCUCUGGGGUUGUGGGACGUCUCAUAUGGAGUUACAAAGGAAUCGAGUAGGCGAAGAGGUCUGGAAAGGCCCGCUAGAAGAGGUAAAAGCCCUGUAGCUGAAAUUCUGUUCCCUCCGAGACGGAUCCCGAGU
rnacentral:rRNA from 1 species